rnacentral:rRNA from 1 species
GUCGAGAGGUCCUGCGCCGAAAAUGUCCGGGGCUGAAACACGACACCGAAGCUUAGGAAUCGCAUAGUGAUUGGUAGAGGAGCAUUCUUAAAACCGACGAAGCUGUACCGGAAGGAGCAGUGGAGGGAUAAGAAGAGAGAAUGCCGGAAUGAGUAGCGAGAGAAAGGUGGGAAUCCUUUCGGCCGAAUAUCUAAGGUUUCCAGAGUAAAGCUGAUCUGCUCUGGGUAAGUCGGGGCCUAAGCACAGGUCGCAAGACGUAAGCGAUGGAUAACAGGUUUAGAUUCCUGUACCACGCAUUAUCAGAACUGUAGGGACGCAUGUGGAAAGCACGAGCCGGGAAUGGAAAGACCGGUACAAGCGGGGUAGGUGUACAAUAGGCAAAUCCGUUGUAUAAUCCGAAGACGUGAUGUGGAGCGAAAUAAAGUAGUGAAGCGUGUGAGCCAUGUGCCGAGAAAAGCUGCUAUUGUGUAAUGCGUGCCCGUACCGUAAACCGACACAGGUGGAUGAGGAGAGAAUCCUAAGGCCGACGGAAGAAGCAUUGUUAAGGAACUCGGCAAAAUGACCCCGUAACUUCGGGAGAAGGGGUGCCCUCUUCAGGGUGGGCCGCAGAGAAUAGGCUCAAGCAACUGUUUAGCAAAAACACAGGUCUAUGCGAAACCGAAAGGUGAGGUAUAUGGGCUGACGCCUGCCCGGUGCUGGAAGGUUAAGAGGAGAGGUUAGCGCAAGCGAAGCUUUGAAUUUAAGCCCCAGUAAACGGCGGCCGUAACUAUAACGGUCCUAAGGUAGCGAAAUUCCUUGUCGGGUAAGUUCCGACCCGCACGAAAGGCGUAAUGAUUUGAGCACUGUCUCGACAAUGCAUCCGGUGAAAUUGAAGUACCAGUGAAGAUGCUGGUUACCCGCGCCAGGACGGAAAGACCCCAUGGAGCUUUACUCCAGUUUGAUACUGGGAUUCGGUACUGCAUGUACAGGAUAGGUGGGAGACGAAGAAGGAUGGACGCCAGUCUGUCCGGAGUCGCUGUUGGGAUACCACCCCUGUAGUACUGGGUUUCUAACCAGUUGCCAUGAACUGGCAAUGGGACAAUGUCAGGCGGGGAGUUUGACUGGGGCGGUCGCCUCCGAAAGGGUAUCGGAGGCGCUCAAAGGUUCCCUCAGAAUGGUUGGAAACCAUUCGAAGAGUGCAAAGGCAGAAGGGAGCUUGACUGCGACACCGACGGGUGGAGCAGGUACGAAAGUAGGACUUAGUGAUCCGGUGGUAUAAAGUGGGAUUGCCAUCGCUCAACGGAUAAAAGCUACCCUGGGGAUAACAGGCUUAUCACUCCCAAGAGUUCACAUCGACGGAGUGGUUUGGCACCUCGAUGUCGGCUCAUCGCAUCCUGGGGCUGUAGUAGGUCCCAAGGGUUGGGCUGUUCGCCCAUUAAAGCGGUACGCGAGCUGGGUUCAGAACGUCGUGAGACAGUUCGGUCCCUAUCCGGCGCGGGCGGAGGAUAUUUGAGAGGAGCUGUCCUUAGUACGAGAGGACCGGGAUGGACGGACCACUGGUGUAUCUGUUGUCGACCAACGGCAUGGCAGAGUAGCCAAGUCUGGAAGGGAUAAACGCUGAAGGCAUCUAAGCGUGAAGCCCCCCUCAAGAUGAGAUAUCCCUCCUUCGGGAGUAAGACCCCUUGA